UGCCGCGUGAGUGAUGAAGGCCUUCGGGUCGUAAAGCUCUUUUACCAGGGAUGAUAAUGACAGUACCUGGAGAAUAAGCUCCGGCUAACUCCGUGCCAGCAGCCGCGGUAAUACGGAGGGAGCUAGCGUUGUUCGGAAUUACUGGGCGUAAAGAGUACGUAGGCGGUUAUUCAAGUCAGAGGUGAAAGCCCGGGGCUCAACCCCGGAACUGCCUUUGAAACUAGAUAACUAGAGUCUUGGAGAGGUUAGUGGAAUUCCGAGUGUAGAGGUGAAAUUCGUAGAUAUUCGGAAGAACACCAGUGGCGAAGGCGACUAACUGGACAAGUACUGACGCUGAGGUACGAAAGCGUGGGGAGCAAACAGGAUUAGAUACCCUGGUAGUCCACGCCGUAAACGAUGAUAACUAGUUGUUCGGUCACUUGGUGACUGAGUGACGCAGCUAACGCAUUAAGUUAUCCGCCUGGGGA
rnacentral:rRNA from 1 species